GCCCGAUAGUGCAGUGGUAACACGCCCCUCCAGAAAAGGUGAGACGCAGGUUCAACUCCCAAUUGAGGUCCA